AGUUCAGACUGUGCUCAUCCUAUCUGGAAAAUAAACUAAAAUAACCAAAAUGAUUUUGAAUGGACUCCUCUUAUCUUGUAAAUGAUAUCGAUAGAUAUUAGCCUGGUUUUCUCUUCUCC